GACGAACGCUGGCGGCGUGCUUAACACAUGCAAGUCGAACGGAAAGGCCCUGCUUUUGUGGGGUGCUCGAGUGGCGAACGGGUGAGUAACACGUGAGUAACCUGCCCUUGACUUUGGGAUAACUUCAGGAAACUGGGGCUAAUACCGGAUAGGAGCUCCUGCUGCAUGGGGGGGUUUGGAAAAUUCCGGCCGUGGGGGAUGGAAUCGCGGGUUACCAGCUGGUUGGGGGGGUAGUGGAUUACAAGGCCUUUGACGGGUAGCCGGCCUGAGAGGGUGACCGGCCACCUUGGGACUGAGAUACGGCCCAGACGGCUACGGGAGGCAGCAGUGGGGAAUAUGGCGCAAUGGGCGGAAGCCUGAUGCAGCAACGCCGCGUGCGGGAUGACGGCCUUCGGGUUGUAAACCGCUUUCGCCGGUGACGAAGCGUGAGUGACGGUAAUGGGUAAAGAAGCACCGGCUAACUACGUG
rnacentral:rRNA from 1 species